rnacentral:rRNA from 1 species
UACGUAGGGUGCGAGCGUUGCCCGGAUUUAUUGGGCGUAAAGGGCGCGUAGGCGGCUCUGCACGUCCGUUGUGAAAUCGCCCGGCUCAACUGGGCGGGGUCAGCGGAUACGGCGGAGCUUGAGCAAGCUAGGGGGCAAUGGAAUUCCCGGUGUAGUGGUGGAAUGCGUAGAUAUCGGGAGGAACACCGGUGGCGAAGGCGGUUCUCUGGGCCGAUACUGACGCUGAGGAGCGAAAGCGUGGGGAGCGAACAGG